CCUACGUGAGGCAGCAGUGAGGAAUAUUGGUCAAUGGGCGCGAGCCUGAACCAGCCAAGUAGCGUGAAGGAUGACUGCCCUACGGGUUGUAAACUUCUUUUAUAAAGGAAUAAAGUGAGGCACGUGUGCCUUUUUGUCUGUACUUUAUGAAUAAGGAUCGGCUAACUCCGUGCCAGCAGCCGCGGUAAUACGGAGGAUCCGAGCGUUAUCCGGAUUUAUUGGGUUUAAAGGGAGCGUAGAUGGGUUGUUAAGUCAGUUGUGAAAGUUUGCGGCUCAACCGUAAAAUUGCAAUUGAUACUGGCAGUCUUGAGGACAGUUGAGGUAGGCGGAAUUCGUGGUGUAGCGGUGAAAUGCUUAGAUAUCACGAAGAACUCCGAUUGCGAAGGCAGCUUACUAAACUGCCACUGACAUUGAUGCUCGAAAGUGUGGGUAUCAAACAGGAUUAGAUACCCUUGUAGUC
rnacentral:rRNA from 1 species